rnacentral:snRNA from 1 species
AUACUUACCUGGCCGGGGAGAUACCAUGAUCACGAAGGUGGUUUCCCCAAGGCGAGGCUUAUCCAUUGCACUCCAGAUGUGCUGACCCCUGCGAUUUCCCCAAAUGUGGGAAACUCCACUGCAUAAUUUGUUGUAGUGGGGGACUGCAUUUGUGCUUUCCUCUU